rnacentral:rRNA from 1 species
GAUGAACGCUGGCGGCGUGCCUAAUACAUGCAAGUCGAGCGAACAGAUGAGGAGCUUGCUCCUCUGACGUUAGCGGCGGACGGGUGAGAACACGUGGAUAACCUACCUAUAAGACUGGGAUAACUUCGGGAAACCGGAGCUAAUACCGGAUAAUAUAUUGAACCGCAUGGUUCAAUAGUGAAAGACGGUUUUGCUGUCACUUAUAGAUGGAUCCGCGCCGCAUUAGCUAGUUGGUAAGGUAACGGCUUACCAAGGCAACGAUGCGUAGCCGACCUGAGAGGGUGAUCGGCCACACUGGAACUGAGACACGGUCCAGACUCCUACGGGAGGCAGCAGUAGGGAAUCUUCCGCAAUGGGCGAAAGCCUGACGGAGCAACGCCGCGUGAGUGAUGAAGGUCCUCGGAUCGUAAAACUCUGUUAUUAGGGAAGAACAAAUGUGUAAGUAACUAUGCACGUCUUGACGGUACCUAAUCAGAAAGCCACGGCUAACUACGUG